UCCGAGUUGACCCCGGCAGUCUCUUAUGAGUCCCCACCAUUACGUGCUGGCAACAUAAGACGAGGGUUGCGCUCGUUGCGGGACUUAACCCAACAUCUCACGACACGAGCUGACGACAGCCAUGCAGCACCUGUCUCCAGGUUCCCGAAGGCACCCCCACAUCUCUGCGAGGUUCCUAGGAUGUCAAGACCAGGUAAGGUUCUUCGCGUUGCAUCGAAUUAAACCACAUGCUCCACUGCUUGUGCGGGCCCCCGUCAAUUCCUUUGAGUUUCACCCUUGCGAGCGUACUCCCCAGGUGGAUCACUUAACGCGUUAGCUCCGACACCGGCACUUAUGCGCCGUCAUCAAGUGAUCAUCGUUUAGGGCUGGACUAC
rnacentral:misc_RNA from 1 species